rnacentral:rRNA from 1 species
GAUGAACGCUGACAGAAUGCUUAACACAUGCAAGUCUUUGGCGAAGCUGUGCUUGCACAGCCUAGCCAAGGCGGACGGGUGAGUAACGCGUAAGGAACUUGCCCUGCAGUCAGGGAUAACAGACGGAAACGACUGAUAAGACCUGGUAAAGUCAGGCGGACUCAUGUCCAGCCUGAUGAAAAGAGAUGCUGCAGGAGAGCCUUGCGUCCUAUUAGCUUGUUGGUGGGGUAACGGCCCACCAAGGCGAUGAUAGGUAGCCGGCCUGAGAGGGUGGACGGCCACAAGGGGACUGAGAUACGGCCCUUACUCCUACGGGAGGCAGCAGUGGGGAAUAUUGGACAAUGGGGGCAACCCUGAUCCAGCAAUUCUGUGUGCACGAUGAAGGUUUUCGGGUUGUAAAGUGCUUUCAGCAGGGAAGAAAAAAAUGACGGUACCUGCAGAAGAAGCGACGGCUAAAUACGUG